rnacentral:rRNA from 1 species
CCUACGGGUGGCAGCAGUGGGGAAUAUUGCACAAUGGGGGAAACCCUGAUGCAGCGACGCCGCGUGAGUGAAGAAGUAAUUCGUUACGUAAAGCUCUAUCAGCAGGGAAGAAAAUGACGGUACCUGAGUAAGAAGCCCCGGCUAACUACGUGCCAGCAGCCGCGGUAAGACGUAGGGGGCAAGCGUUAUUCGGAUUUACGGGGUGUAAAGGGAGCGGAGACGGGGCGCCAAGUCGGGAGUGAAAUGCCGCAGCUGACCUGCGGAACUGCUUUGGAAACUGGCGAACUAGAGUGCGGGAGGGUUAAGCGGAAUUCCUAGUGUAGCGGUGAAAUGCGUCGAUAUUAGGAGGAACACCGGUGGCGAAGGCGGCUUACUGGACCGUACCUGACGUUGAGGCUCGACAGCGUGGGGAGCAAACAGGAUUAGAUACCCUGGUAGUC